UACGGAGGGUGCAAGCGUUGUUCGGAAUUAUUGGGCGUAAAGCGCGCGCAGGCGGCCGCAUAAGUCUAUGGGUGAAAUGCCGGGGCUCAACCCCGAGCAUGCCCAGGAUACUGUGCGGCUAGAGACACGUAGAGGCAAGCGGAAUUCCGGGUGUAGCGGUGGAAUGCGUAGAGAUCCGGAAGAACACCGGAGGCGAAGGCGGCUUGCUGGGCGUGAUCUGACGCUGAGGCGCGAAAGCGUGGGGAGCGAACAGG
rnacentral:rRNA from 1 species